AAUCUGAAGUUGCAUUGUUCAGUUUUCUUCGGAGAACUUGCGUGCAACGCGGUUGGCGUGUAGAGGUUGACAAGAGUACGUGUAGGGCGUGGAUUGUCCUUGCAAGAUUUGUCUUGCAGGUUGAGAGUUGACGUCUUUCUACGAAAAUUGGAUUCAUGAUGCCGCGUAGCCUAGCCAACAGAUUUGAAAUUGAUCGGAGUGAUCCUGUGCAAUACCUUUGGGUAUUGCAUGGUUGAUCCUUUGACAACUGUAUAUUCCUAAAUCUUUCGCUACAUGGUCCCUGGAUCCUUGCAGUUGGGUAAAACCAUACAGUUGACAUUU